UCUCUGUCUGUCUAUAUGCUGCUUUUGCUGGGGAUAGACCAGGAAUGGAGUCUUAGAACUUUUAAACAAGAUGGAAGUCAAAACCAACAGACCGGCUUUCCGGAGGUUACUGAAGACGACUUACCGAGUGUUAUUCCUCAAGAAGAAAUGUUGAAGGGGACCAAGAAACUUCCCUCUGAACCAGCGACCGUUUCCAGUGUUGGAAGCAAGGGUAUUCCGCCCCCCGAUUUUGAACAGCACAGCACACUCAAAUCCCUCCUGACACAGAACCAACUGCCGUUAAAGAGGGGCAAAAAAUUUCCCUCUGAGGCAGCUGCAGUUGGAAUCAAGGGUAUUAGGCCCCGCGAUUUUGAACAGCACAGCACAUCCAAUUCCCUCAUUGCACAGAGGCAGCCAUCCUUAAAAAGGGCCAAAAAAUCUACCUCUGAAACAGCAAGAGUUGGAAGCAAGAGGAUCAGACCCCCCGGAUUUUGAACCGGCCUGCACCACCAGGGCCAAGAAAUCUACCUCUGCAGCUUCCAGGGACACUGGACAGCCUCGGAUUGGUCCGACCCAAAGGCUCUAAUAAGACGUCUGAGAGGGUCUAAACUGGGAAGUUGCCUCCUUCUACAGAAGGACGGGAAAGGAAUGCGGAUAUGCCCUUUCAAAGCUCCGUUUCUGACAGCUGGCUGCUUAUCGGCUCCAGGACAAAGGAACCAUUACUGAGGAAUGCUGCUUGCUUUGAGCUUCACCCCAACUCAGUCUUCAAAGGGAGAGCAGGACACCCGAGGAGAGGCGCCGGCAGAAAGGGGAAGUGCCAGGAGGAGCCCUGUGACAUGCAUCCCACCGUCAGAGACCUCCUCCAUGGGCUCAAGUGGGUGCUCUGCUUCCUUGCCUUCGUGAUCUAUAUUGCUGCCUUGGGAGAUGCCUUUUAUUACUUCCUCAUUUUCCUGAUGGUCCCUGGAGUUGCCUUAUAUGAACACAUGUUACCAGCCUUGCUGCUCUUCCUCCAAACCCUGACGCCGGUUGCAGACGUCUUCUUCCACGAUGUGCUUCGGGCUCUGGCCGUCUUCCUCGUCUCCCUGUCUCUCCCUGUCUCCCUCUUCUUGUGCUUGAAGCUCGUACUGCUUCCUCUUUACCUCACAUUAGUGCGGCUUGUUUUCUGAGUGGCUCCGGCUCAACAGAGCAGUCAGGUGCUUGCAUGUCUCUCUGGACGCCUUUCAUUGUGCGUGUCCUGAGUAGAGGGCAAGGGAAGUCAUAAAUCUUCCAGAGGGAUCCAAACAACCUCAUGUUACCUAAAGAGCAACUCCUCAGCCAUGCCAGUGUCAUGAGCCCAGGAUUUCCGUCAUCCCUCUGGCAGGUACGUGGCUGCUGACACCCUCACUGUGUCUCCUGUCCUACCCUUGGUCUGUGAGCCAAGCCAGGUACGUUCCUCUUAAGGAAGAGCUUUGCCUACAAGGCUUUUCUAUUCUCCAUCUUGUCACUGCUCUGCCAGUGUCCCUCAGUCCUGACCUGCAGCUUCUACUGCCAGUCCAGUCCCCUCCAGACACACAGUUCUGCCAUGCAAUUGCCACUGAGCAAACUCUGCCAUCCAGCAGGCUCCUGACAUCCGGCCUGCGGUAAGUGCUGAGGAAUAAGCAUGUGCUAAUCUUGGCUGUGCUUGCCAGGGGAUGGCAGACACCGAGUCUGGAAGUCCAGGGAGUGGACCGAGCAGCAGCUGUGGGUCAGUUUUUUCCCACCAGUGCAUCAUGGUGGAGGGGAUCAGGCUCUGGGACACUCAUCCAGAGGCGCUUAGGCGAAUGCAGGUCUCUAGGAGACACUGCCAAACCUUCCUCCUUGGAACGUCCUUUCCCCCACAAGCAUCAUACCCACAACCAUCCUUCCCCCCAAAUCCCAACCGACCACCCCUCGAAAAAACAAAAAUAAACCUACCCCAAGCAGAGAUUUUACCCUCAAAAGGAAAAGUUGUCAGAGACGCCAUGAAAUCCACUAUGGACUUCGCUUUUGCUCUUGAUUUCACGAGGAAGGAGCACAGAUACAACGGUGUCCUACAAAAAGUGAA